rnacentral:sRNA from 1 species
AUUAACCAAAAUAACUAAAAAAAUCUAAACUUCCAAUGGACGGAGCAAAUAUAAUAAACUUUUAAACAAUUACGAAACGCAAUAGUACGAAAACUAAUUUUUAAAAUAUUAAAUUUAACGAAAUUUUUACAAAUUAAAACCGACGUAUUAAAUUAUGCGAUCGGGGGAUAAUUUAACCAGCGAAACGAAAAAAAACAAUUGCAUUUUUGCGCCUUUUUUUUAUAAAAAUUAUAUAAACCAAAAUUUAAUUACCAAAUCCACGAUAAAAAAUUUAUAAUUAUUAUCCGAACAUUUGAAAAAUAAAAAUUACAAUUAUCCGGAAUUAAAUACGAAAUGUUAAUUUAUACGAAUUAUAAGAAUUUAACCCAUUUUACUAUUAAUAAAAUAUUAAACAAACGAUAAAUUAAAUAAUUAAAAUUUUUAUUAAAAUUCCAUUUUAGGAUUAUUUACCGGAAAAAAACAGAAAACGGCAGGGCCGACGCCUUUAGCCGGAAAUUAAAUUACGAAAAUAUAAUACUAAAGGAAACGCGGGUUAUUUUUAUAAUAAACGAAAACGGAAAUUUUUUAUUAGCGCACCGAAAUUUAAUAAUAAUAAAUACGGUAAUUACGCCAAAAAAAAUACGAAAGAUUUACGGAAAUAAAACUUACGGAUACCAAGGAAUUUCUAAAAUAUAAAAACGGUUAAAAUAAUAUUAUAAUUUCCGAGGAAUAUAACAAAAAAU